rnacentral:rRNA from 1 species
CAAUAGCGUAUAUUAAAGUUGUUGCAGUUAAAAAGCUCGUAGUUGGAUUUCUGGUUGAAGCGACCGGUCGGGCGUUGAUUCGUCUGCACUGGAGUCGGUUUUGGCCAUCCUCUAGGAAAGUGCGUCUGGUAUUAAGUUAUCGGGCGUAUGAUCCUGGUCUUUUACUGUGAAAAAAUUAGAGUGUUUAAAGCAGGCCUUCGCCUUGAAUACAUUAGCAUGGAAUAAUAAGAUAGGACUUUGGUCUAUUUUGUUGGUUUGCAGACCGAAGUAAUGAUUAAUAGGGAUAGUUGGGGGUAUUUAUAUUCCGAUGUCAGAGGUGAAAUUCUUAGAUUUUCGGAAGAUAAACUUAUGCGAAAGCAUUUACCAAGGAUGUUNUCAUUAA